UUCUGGACAUACUCUUCAAGCAAAAGUUAGCUUAGAAAUGGCAACGGCGAGAUCAAUUGCGCUAAAAGCAGUGAGUACCGGUCUAUGGAGUCUAAACCGGAGUUUCUCAAGGCCCAAACCGUGAGGACAUUGUCGACAAUCAUCUCUCCGCCUUCCAAAGCAGUCGUCUACGAGCACCACGGCCCACCCGACUCCGUCACCAGAAUGAUAGAGCUACCCCAGUAGAAGUGAAGGAGAAUCAAGUUGCGUUAAAAUGUUGGCUGCUCCCAUUAAUCCCUCUGAUAUUAACCGUAUUGAAGGAGUGUACCCUGUGAGGCCACAAGUGCCUGCAGUUGGAGGCUAUGAAGGUGUUGGAGAAGUAUAUUCUGUUGGUUCUGCAGUUAAGGGUCUUGCCGGGUGAUUUGGUCAUUCCGUCUCCACCUUCCUCUGGU